GACCCAGGACACCCAGAAGCUGGAAAUGGACUCAGUGGCCUUUGAGGAUGUGACUAUGAACUUCACCCAGGGGGAGUGGACUUUGCUGAGUCCUUCCCAGAAGAAUCUCUACAGAGAUGUGAUGCUGGAAACCCUUAGGAACCUGGCCUCUGUCAAAGUCUGGGUGAGAGAUUCUGUGGACAUAAAGAAGGGAGUCAACGUGGUGAACCCUUCAGCCAGAUUCCUGAUUGUCACCUGAAAAAGAAAAGUCAUACUGGGGUAAAACCACUCAAAUGCUGCGUGUGUGGGAAAGUCUUCCUUCCUCAUUCACUCCUGGACAGGCACAUGACAACUCACGCCAGACAGAAACUAUACGAGUGUGAUGGGGAAUGGGGAGAGAAGCCCCGUAAACAGAAACAAUGUGGGAAAGCCUCCAUUUCCCCCAGUAGUGGUCCAAGGCGCACAGUAACACCAAUUCGAAAGAGACCUUAUGAAUGCAGGGUGUGCAGGAAAGCCCUUAAUUCUCCUAAUUUAUUUCAAAUUCAUGAAAGAAUUCAUACUGGAGAGAGGUCCUACAAAUGUAGGGAAAUCAUGAAAGCCUUUACUAUUUCCAUUUUCUUUCGAAAACAUGGACAAAUGCACACUGGAGAAAAACGCCAUGAAUGUAAGUACGGUGGAAAACCUUUUGAUCAUCCCAGUUUAUUUCAAACUCAUGUUACACUGGAGAAAAACCUCACAAAUGUAAGCAAUGUGGUACAACUUCAUUCGGACACAUGAAAUCAGAACUCACACGCUGGAGAAAUCCCACCAAUGUCAGGAAGGUGGGAAGAUACUCAGUCGUUUCAGUUCCCUUUGCAGACAUUAAAGGUCUAACAGUGGAGGAAAACUCUACAAACAUCAAAAAUAUGACCAAGUCUUAGAUGUCCCACGUCCCUUCAAGCACAUGAAAGAGCUCACACUGGAGAGAGACCUUGUGAAUGUAAUAAAUGUGGUAAAACCUUCAAUUAUCCCAGUUGUUUUCGAAGACAUGAACAAACUCAUAGUGGAGAAAAGCCAUAUGACUGUAAAAGGUGCGAUAUGGUCUUCGGAUGUGGCAAUUCCCCAAGGAGACAUGAAAUGACUCACACUAGAGAAAAACCCUUUGACUCUAAACAAUGUGAUAAAGUCUUUACUUUUUUAAAUCGCUUUCGACAACAUGAAAAAACUCAUUUAGCUGGGCGCAGACAGUGCUUUUGGAGGCAGACAGUGCUUUUGGAGGCAGGGGGAUCACCUGAGCCCAGGAGUUUGA